rnacentral:rRNA from 1 species
AUAGCGUAUAUUAAAGUUGUUGCAGUUAAAAAGCUCGUAGUUGGAUUUCAAGAAACGCAUCUGAGAAAUCAGUUUGCUUUCUACCAGUCUUAGACUGUUACUGUGAGAAAAUUAGAGUGUUUCAAGCAGGCAAUUGCAGGAAUACAUUAGCAUGGAAUAACGAAUGUGUCUACAAUUUGGUUGAUUGUAGAUUUCAAUUAAUAGGGACAGUUGGGGGCAUUAGUAUUUAAUUGUCAGAGGUGAAAUUCUUGGAUUUGUUAAAGACUAACGUAUG